UACGUAGGGUGCAAGCGUUAAUCGGAAUUACUGGGCGUAAAGCGUGCGCAGGCGGUUUUGUAAGACAGAUGUGAAAUCCCCGGGCUCAACCUGGGACCUGCAUUUGUGACUGCAAGGCUAGAGUACGGUAGAGGGGGAUGGAAUUCCGCGUGUAGCAGUGAAAUGCGUAGAUAUGCGGAGGAACACCGAUGGCGAAGGCAAUCCCCUGGACCUGUACUGACGCUCAUGCACGAAAGCGUGGGGAGCAAACAGGAUUAGAUACCCUGGUAGUCCACGCCCUAAACGAUGUCAACUGGUUGUUGGGUCUUUACUGACUCAGUAACGAAGCUAACGCGUGAAGUUGACCGCCUGGGGAGUACGGCCGCAAGGUUGAA
rnacentral:rRNA from 1 species